rnacentral:rRNA from 1 species
GAAUUCAACUCCUACGGGAGGCAGCAGUGGGGAAUUUUGGACAAUGGGGGCAACCCUGAUCCAGCCAUGCCGCGUGAGUGAUGAAGGCCCUAGGGUUGUAAAGCUCUUUUGUGCGGGAAGAUAAUGACGGUACCGCAAGAAUAAGCCCCGGCUAACUUCGUGCCAGCAGCCGCGGUAAUACGAAGGGGCUAGCGUUGCUCGGAAUCACUGGGCGUAAAGGGUGCGUAGGCGGGUCUUUAAGUCAGGGGUGAAAUCCUGGGGCUCAACUCCAGAACUGCCUUUGAUACUGAGGAUCUUGAGUUCGGGAGAGGUGAGUGGAACUGCGAGUGUAGAGGUGAAAUUCGUAGAUAUUCGCAAGAACACCAGUGGCGAAGGCGGCUCACUGGCCCGAUAUUGACGCUGAGGCACGAAAGCGUGGGGAGCAAACAGGAUUAGAAACCCUAGUAGUCCAGGCGUU